AAUUCCGCGGUUUAACCGCGGACCUGGCAACCCUGUGGCACCCUGAGGCACCUUCAAAUAUGUUCAGAACAUUAAUGUGAUGGUCUUCAGUUCACUUCCUGAUGUCUUGGUAGAUGUUUUGUUUUAAUAAUAGAUGUUAAUUUAAUGAACGUAUGCUUUGUUCGUCCAUUGUAUAUAAUUUCCCUAGUGUCUGUGUGGCUUAUUUGAAGGUUUCAAAUCACGACAUCAACACUUUGGUUCCCUCAUUUGAAACAUUAGGUUGUCUGUGGUCAUGUGCUCUUGUUGGUUUCUGAAGUAAGAGCGCCGCCUGACGGAUAAAGGUCUAAUGCCAUAAUGACUCUGGUAUCGCGUGUUGCUUGGUCCAAAAAGCAUUCUCAGUCAGUCAUUGUUUUUGAUUAGACAUCGUUGCCUUAGAGUUAGUAGUUAAACCGGGUAAAAUUUGGGAAAGUUAAUCUAUAUAGACUGUAAAAUGCAUCCCAAAACCAUGCAAACCAAGCAACGAUGAGAUGUCGCGAGAAAUAACGUGAUUUCAGCGCCAAAUGUAAAAAGAACCUGGGGGAACAAUCUGACGAAUGAAUCCGAAAUAAUAAUAAAAAAGAUCGACCCCAGUGAACCUAAGGCUCCUCUUAUUGACAUCGCUCCAUCAUUUCCAAUCAUUGCUGUAAACACCAUGGCACUACGUGAAAUUGAGCCAAAUAUCUUGGACCCAGAGUCUGAGCCCGAGUUUGAAGAGAAUGAGGAACCACACAGACGGCAGAGGCUUUUGCAGGACGUAACAGGAACAGACAAGACUUCCUGGGCUCAAAAUGGGCGUAAGUUAUACCCUGGAAGCAUAGAGGUAACUCUUGAGCCUGAGCCAACAAAAAACAUGAGGGAGCCUGAAUCCACUCCUCAAAGCGAUGAAGAAGGUGAUUUCUCUCUGGAAGAGGAGGAAGAGGAGGGAGGUGACAAAGGUGAUGCAGCUCAGAUGAGGACUGGGUCCCUCAGAAUUUUACUGAAGAAGGGGAUGAAGACAUUAAGAAGACCUCCUCAGAGGAAGACAGUGAUGAAGGCGAGGAACUCUCUGACUCUAAAACGACUUCACAGAAAAUUAGGCAGCUCUGCACAGAAUGUGGAUCUUUUCAUUAUUCUCAAAAUCAUAUAUGCGAGCACAAAACUAAACCUCACGUUUGCAAUGUGUGUGGAAAAAGAUGUGUCACUGAGUUGUCUCUAAAAUUACACAGCAAUAUACACAGUGAAACUUAUGAACAUUAUUGCAAGUAUUGCUAUGGUACCUUUAAGACCAAACUGGACAAACUUAAUCAUGAACAGACUCACCAGAAUCAAAGUAAACCUU
rnacentral:lncRNA from 1 species